GCCUCAGGCAGCCUGGCAGGUCCUGUGGACGAGCUGUCCUGGACAGGUUUCAGCUCAGAGUGACGCCAACAGCUCUGACUAAGGGGUCAACCCUUGAUUCAAGUGAGUGGACCCACCAACAGAACAGACAGAGGGGCAUGCAGGAUUCCUGUCUUACCCUACAAAUCCAGGGCCCUCCCUCUGGAGCAGCUUUGGCUCCAUGGCAAUUAUCCAUCAGCAGUGGGGAUGGCCUCGACGUGCAUGUGGAGUCCAAUCUUCUGUGUCUAGCUGGAUCUGAAAGGUGUCUAGCUACAUGCUAAAGUAUGACCAGACGGAGGGAUGCAGCUAGAAGGAAAACAUCUGAAUCCAUUUCAUGACAGAAGCAAUGUCAUUGGGAAGAGUCACUGCCGCAGCCUGGGGAGAGCUCGCCUCACCCUCCCGGCCCAGCCACGCCCGAUGACUCAGGCUCCCAUCCAUUAUGCACCGCAUGAAACCCGACCGACCUUCCGAGCGCUCCUGCCAGCAGCCCGCAUCUGUUGAAUCAGAAAGCAAUCACCUGAUGCUCAAUCUCAUUUCACUCAUUAGUCCUUGCCUGCAGCUUGUGUACCCAGAAUUUAAAGUUCAUGCAUCCUGCCUCUUCUGAGUGCUGUGAGUCAUCUGCAAGUGCUUUGGGAUCGCCAGGGUGUGACCGAGGUGGUGGGGUGCUAUGCCCCGGGAGAAGGUCUAGAGCAGAGAGAGAUAUUUUGAUGUGCAUUAAAUCCUGCAGGAAUCACUCAGUUUAAA